rnacentral:rRNA from 1 species
GGUGGUAAUGCCGGAUGCUCCGGUUGGAUGCAUGUCCUUCCGGGAAAGAUUCCAUCGGUAUGGGAUGGGGUCGCGUCCUAUCAGCUUGAUGGCGGGGUAACGGCCCACCAUGGCUUCGACGGGUAGCCGGCCUGAGAGGGCGACCGGCCACAUUGGGACUGAGAUACGGCCCAGACUCCUACGGGAGGCAGCAGUGGGGAAUAUUGCACAAUGGGCGCAAGCCUGAUGCAGCGACGCCGCGUGCGGGAUGGAGGCCUUCGGGUUGUAAACCGCUUUUGAUCGGGAGCAAGCCCUUCGGGGUGAGUGUACCCUUCGAAUAAGCACCGGCUAACUACGUGCCAGCAGCCGCGGUAAUACGUAGGGUGCAAGCGUUAUCCGGAAUUAUUGGGCGUAAAGGGCUCGUAGGCGGUUCGUCGCGUCCGGUGUGAAAGCCCAUCGCUUAACGGUGGGUCUGCGCCGGGUACGGGCGGGCUGGAGUGCGGUAGGGGAGACUGGAAUUCCCGGUGUAACGGUGGAAUGUGUAGAUAUC